rnacentral:rRNA from 1 species
AUUGAACGCUGGCGGCAGGCCUAACACAUGCAAGUCGACCGAGUGGCGGACGGGUGAGUAAUGUCUGGGAAACUGCCUGAUGGAGGGGGAUCACUACUGGAAACGGUAGCUAAUACCGCAUACCAUCGGAUGUGCCCAGAUGGGCGUGGCUAGUAGGUGGGGUAACGGCGCACCUAGGCGACGAUCCCUAGCUGGUCUGAGAGGAUGACCAGCCACACUGGAACUGAGACAGGGUGCAGACUCCUACGUGAGGCAGAAGUGGGGAUUAUUGCACAAUGGGCGCAAGCCUGAUGCAGCCGUGCCGGGUGUAUGAAGAAGGCCUUGGGGUUGUAAAGUACUUUCAGCGGGGAGGCGUUACCCGCAGAAGAAGCACCGGCUAACUCCGUGCCAGCAGCCGCGGUAAUAC